GAUGAACGCUGGCGGCGUGCCUAAUACAUGCAAGUCGAGCGAACGGACGAGAAGCUUGCUUCUCUGAUGUUAGCGGCGGACGGGUGAGUAACACGUGGAUAACCUACCUAUAAGACUGGGAUAACUUCGGGAAACCGGAGCUAAUACCGGAUAAUAUUUUGAACCGCAUGGUUCAAUAGUGAAAGACGGUCUUGCUGUCACUUAUAGAUGGAUCCGCGCUGCAUUAGCUAGUUGGUAAGGUAACGGCUUACCAAGGCAACGAUGCGUAGCCGACCUGAGAGGGGGAUCGGCCACCUGGGAACUGGGACACGGUCCAGACGCCUACGGGAGGCAGCAGUAGGGAACCUUCCGCAAUGGGCGAAAGCCUGACGGAGCAACGCCGAGUGAGUGAUGAAGGUCUUCGGAUCGUAAAACUCUGUUAUGAGGGAAGAACAGAUGUGUAAGUAACUGUGCACAUCUUGACGGUACCUAAUCAGAAAGCCACGGCUAACUACGUG
rnacentral:rRNA from 1 species